rnacentral:rRNA from 1 species
AUUGAACGCUGGCGGCAGGCCUAACACAUGCAAGUCGAGCGGUAGAGAGGUGCUUGCAUCUCUUGAGAGCGGCGGACGGGUGAGUAAUGCCUAGGAAUCUGCCUGGUGGUGGGGGGAUAACGUUCGGAAACGGACGCUAAUACCGCAUACGUCCUACGGGAGAAAGCGGGGGGAUCUUCGGACCUCGCGCCAUUAGAUGAGCCUAGGUCGGAUUAGCUAGUUGGUGAGGUAAUGGCUCACCAAGGCGACGAUCCGUAACUGGUCUGAGAGGAUGAUCAGUCACACUGGAACUGAGACACGGUCCAGACUCCUACGGGAGGCAGCAGUGGGGAAUAUUGGACAAUGGGCGAAAGCCUGAUCCAGCCAUGCCGCGUGUGUGAAGAAGGUACUUCGGAUUGUAAAGCACUUUAAGUUGGGUAGGAAGGGCGAGUAAGUUAAUACCUUAG